rnacentral:tRNA from 1 species
UGGGGUGCAGCUCUGUGGUAGAGUGCUUGCCUAGCAUGUGUGAGGCCCUGGGUUUGAUCCCCAGCACAACAA